AGCAGCCGCGGUAAUUCCAGCUCCAAUAGCGUAUAUUAAAGUUGUUGCAGUUAAAAAGCUCGUAGUUGAAUUUCGGGACUAAUAUGUCGGUCGUACUUUGUACGUACUAGCAUUAUUGGUUUCUCCCUUCUGACGAACCACGAUGUCAUUAAUUUGGUGUCGCGGGAAAUCAGGACUGUUACUUUGAAAAAUUAGAGUGUUUAAAGCAAGCUCGCGCUUGAAUACAUUAGCAUGGAAUAAUGAAAUAGGACGUUUGAUUCUAUUUUGUUGGUUUCUAGGAUCGACGUAAUGAUUAAUAGGGAUAGUUGGGGGCAUUAGUAUUCAAUUGUCAGAGGUGAAAUUCUUGGAUUUAUUGAAGACUAACUACUGCGAAAGCAUUUGCCAAGGAUGUUUUCAUUAAUCAAGAACGAAAGUUAGGGGAUCGAAGACGAUCAGAUACCGUCGUAGUCUUAACCAUAAACUAUGCCGACUAGGGAUCGGAUGAUGUUAAUUUUUAAUGUACUCAUUCGGCGCCUUACGG
rnacentral:rRNA from 1 species